AUGGCUGGAGGAUUGCUGCUGUUAGAUAUGUCAUCCUCCUCAAAAUUUGUCCUUUUGUACCCUUGGGUGCUCAUCUGUUUUAUCAUAGAGAGCAAAAUUGAAAAAACAUGACAACUUGAUUCAAUUUGAAUUACACAGUAUAUUUUUCGAAAAAACCUCAUGAUCAAACUUACAUGUACUUCAACUUUGACUGGACUUUAAUUUUUUUGGGAAGUUUAAAAAGUGUUUUAAUUAUUUUUAACAUGCAUUAAACCAAGGAGACAAAUAAGUACAAAAUUUCUGACUGUAAUUAGGAGCUAACUUCAGGAUAAUUAUCAAGUAUUUAUCUGCAUUAUAUUUUAAACUGUGAUGGAUGGAAAGGGACGAGAAAUCGACCAGGAAAAUCCACAUAAACUGUUUCCUGCUACCUCACUCCAAGUAACAAAAGUGUCUUCCAGAAACAAGAGUUCUACUCAAGGGAGGCAGAUACAGUAAGAUUUGAAGAUGAAUACAGAGAGGAGCUCACUCUUUGCAAGCAGAUUUGAUAAAUCUACCAGAUGAUAGCCAUGAUGCCACCAACUCCAAUGUGACCAAUGAGAAGGGGAUACUUUUAAAAUGGUAGAAAUCAUAACAAAAACAAAAUUAACAAUGAAACAAAAUAGGCCAAAAUCCUAUAAAUAAUUAUAAAAAAAGUCCUAAUUGUAACGGGGA